rnacentral:misc_RNA from 1 species
AAGUGAACAUGUUAAAAAUGUCCAACUAAACCUUGUUCCCGGAGAAGGGACAAUAAGGAUUAAAAAGUUCGGGGGUGGUUCUGCACUAGCUCCGGGAUGGGAGCUAACCAGAGCUGUUGUGCCUACAGUACUCCGAGAACUGGGAGUAAGAAGGAUAAAAACAGAAAAGAGGUUGAACGGCAGGAUGAUAAAUACGAACCAAGACAGGUUACUGCUGGAAGGAGGGAGGAGAGUAUGGGAAACCUGCAGCAUAUAUCUGAACGGGAACCUGAUGAUUGGGAAGAUGAUCCUAGUUUGCAUCCUACAACAGAAACAAUGUUCAUGGAAAAAUCUAAGCAAAGCAUUAGGAACGGUAUGGUCCGAAAACGUUCCCAGAUGCAGUUGGCGAACUCUAAUUCUCUGGGAGACUUCAUGACGUUAAAGAAAGCGUCCUCCUGUUCCACUAUAUAUAUAGACGAUAGUACCGUCUCUCAACCUAACCUUAAGAACACUAUAAAGUGCGUGUCCCUUGCCAUCUACUAUCAUAUAAAGAAUAGAAAAUCAGACGGAAUACUGGAUAUAUUUGACGAGAAAAAGAGUCCUUUAACGAGAGAGACUGUUCCGGAUGAGUAUAACAAGUACAACCCGGAUCACAGACAGAUUUACAAGUUUAUCCGAACCCUGUUUAACGCAGCUCAGCUUACGGCUGAGUGUGCUAUCAUCACCUUGGUUUACUUAGAAAGAUUAUUAACGUAUGCUGAGAUUGAUAUUGCUCCUGGAAGUUGGAAAAGAAUAACUCUCGGAGCUAUUCUUUUAUCGAGCAAGGUAUGGGAUGACCAGGCUGUGUGGAAUGUUGAUUAUUGUCAGAUUCUCAAAGAUCUAACCGUAGAAGACAUGAACGAGCUAGAACGACAGUUCCUGGAACUCUUACAGUUCAAUAUAAACGUUCCUAGUAGUGUUUAUGCUAAAUAUUUCUUCGACCUGAGAACCCUGGCAGAAGCUAAUGAUCUCUCCUACCCUGCAGAACCUCUUUCUAAGGAGCGAGCUCAGAAACUAGAGGCAAUGUCAAGGUUUUGUGAAGAUAAAAUUUCUGGAGAAAUUUUGCAGCAAAACGGUGUCAAAAGAUCCAAUUCUUUAGACAGACUAACAUCGAACAGAAGAAGUGUCGCGAUCCUAUCUUGAGGUUACAUUCAGUUAAAUAUUAUUAGAGGAGCUUCAAAACAUCCCAUCCACCCUCAGUUAAAAUCGGCAGUCAAGGUCCCACCGAUUCUUGAACAAAAUAGGCCAUUUCCGGCCUAGAGACAAAUAAUUACUCGUGCCAUCUUAUACAUCCAUUCCUUUGUUAUAUCCUUGUAUCAAUGGAGUGAUUAAAUAUCACCCUGUAUCAUCAUAAUUUAAAAUUCUUAUAGUUAACUUAAUUAUUUAUAAAAUUUUAUUAUUUUACAUCACUUUCAUGUUGUACAUACUACAUAUUACAUAUAAUGUAUUGUUCUAAACUUAUUACCAUAUUAACCCUACUCUCCCUACAUUGAAUCAAAUUAGCAGAGAUGUUACAUUAGAACGAUAAGAAGAAAUUCCGCACAACAUUACAAUUAUUCAGCUACAACAUUGUUCAGUUACAACAUUGUUCAAUUAUUCAGCGAUUAAUUAACUAAAUUGAAAACCACGACCUGUCUAUCGGGGGUAUACCAACCCCAUUCCCUUUGAAAAUCAUCUGUUCCCUAUUUGUGUGGUAAUUCUUAUGAAAAUGAUCUGAAAGCAAUAACUAACUUCAGUUGUUUAUUUUUAUUUUCAACUCCGAUCAAAAUGGAAAAGCGUACUUUUUUAUACAUUUUUACAUACAACCCAAAUCAGUCAAACUAUAAAGAUAUUCAUGUACUAAUGCUGUAGUAUAAAAGUAGCAAUGCUAUCGGAUUAUAUAAAUGUAAAUGACUCUUGUGAAGCAUAAUAUCUAAUGGACGGUGUUUUAUUUACUUCCAUCCUUCAAAUUUUAUUGAUCUAUUUUAAGUAAUUUCACUUUCAUUAAAUGCUCAGAGCUGAAAACUUUAGAAUGCUCAGUUAAUAUUUUUCUCCGCUAUAUAUUGUUCCUUCUCCAACCUGCAUCAAGGCAGAUAGUUAAAAAGUAAUUAAAUAAUAACCUGUAAAAUGUUUA